GAUGAACGCUAGCUACAGGCUUAACACAUGCAAGUCGAGGGGAAACGACAUCGAAAGCUCGCUUUUGAUGGGCGUCGACCGGCGCACGGGUGAGUAACGCGUAUCCAACCUGCCCACCACUUGGGGAUAACCUUGCGAAAGUAAGACUAAUACCCAAUGAUAUCUCUAGAAGACAUCUGAAAGGGAUUAAAGAUUUAUCGGUGAUGGAUGGGGAUGCGUCUGAUUAGCUUGUUGGCGGGGUAACGGCCCACCAAGGCGACGAUCAGUAGGGGUUCUGAGAGGAAGGUCCCCCACAUUGGAACUGAGACACGGUCCAAACUCCUACGGGAGGCAGCAGUGAGGAAUAUUGGUCAAUGGGCGAGAGCCUGAACCAGCCAAGUAGCGUGCAGGAUGACGGCCCUAUGGGUUGUAAACUGCUUUUAUAAGGGAAUAAAGUGGGAGUCGUGACUCUUUUUGCAUGUACCUUAUGAAUAAGGACCGGCUAAUUCCGUGCCAGCAGCCGCCGCGG
rnacentral:rRNA from 1 species